rnacentral:rRNA from 1 species
CGUCUGGAAAGAACUUCGGUCCAGGAUGAGCUCGCGGCCUAUCAGCUUGUUGGUGAGGUAGUGGCUCACCAAGGCGUCGACGGGUAGCCGGCCUGAGAGGGUGACCGGCCACACUGGGACUGAGACACGGCCCAGACUCCUACGGGAGGCAGCAGUGGGGAAUAUUGCACAAUGGGCGAAAGCCUGAUGCAGCAACGCCGCGUGAGGGACGACGGCCUUCGGGUUGUAAACCUCUUUUAGCAAGGAAGAAGCGAAAGUGACGGUACUUGCAGAAAAAGCGCCGGCUAACUACGUGCCAGCAGCCGCGGUAAUACGUAGGGCGCAAGCGUUAUCCGGAAUUAUUGGGCGUAAAGAGCUCGUAGGCGGUUUGUCGCGUCUGCUGUGAAAACCCGAGGCUCAACCUCGGGCCUGCAGUGGGUACGGGCAGACUAGAGUGCGGUAGGGGAGAUUGGAACUCCUGGUGUAGCGGUGGAAUGCGCAGAUAUCAGGAAGAACACCGAUGGCGAAGGCAGAUCUCUGGGCCGUAACUGACGCUGAGGAGCGAAAGGGUGGGGAGCAAACAGGCUUAGAUACCCUGGUAGUCCACCCCGUAAACGUUGGGAACUAGUUGUGGGGUCCAUUCCACGGAUUCCGUGACGCAGCUAACGCAU